UUUGUGCUAUAAACCUAGUAGGCACACUAUCACGGUAACUGGAGAUAUUACUGUUUGGUAAGAACCUGCCUAUUCAUUCCUCACAUCAUGAUUUCCAGAUUCCCCCUCAUAUUUAUAUUGCAGCUCCGAGGCUCUUCAGUGAAAUAUGCUUAAAAUCUUGCUCAUACCUCCCUGGAACUACACACUGGUGAGCAUAGGCUUGUGUGCUGCACAGCUUGGGUACCAGAGCAGAUGCUUCUGCACUGACUGUUCAUGUGGAAGACAGGUGCUGAGACCUCUCCCUGGUGCCACACAGGACAGAGGUACUGGAAGCUGAGAGCCUGUCCCAGAACUAUGAGAAGACUCUGGCUCCAUCUUCUCUAUACUAUCCUAUAAGAAUAUGGCAGCUGGCAAAUUUUUUACUUUAUUUCAUGUCGCUCAGGCACAAAGGGAUUAUCUCACCAUCUAAUCACAGGAUGAAAGUAUAAAAUGAGGAAAAUCAACAGUAUUAUACCAGCAAAUACCUCAAGAAGGCAGAGAUAAUUACUCCAAUUAUUACUGGAGAGCCAGGUGGGCAAAUUAGAGGACUGGGCCAAUCAGGGAUAGAUAAAGGAAACGUUUCCCAGAGUUUAGAGAAGCAGCUGAUAAUCCUUAUGUUUACAAUGCUACUGUUUUAUCUUGAAUCACUUCUUCAAAUUAGUAGUAUGGCUAUUCCUAGCUCAGGUAAGCAUGUAUAAAAUAUAAUAAAUAGCUUUAAAUAAACAAAGCAGGAAGAGGAUAAAGACUGGUGUCAGUGCAUGAGCCUGAUUCAUUGCUUAAGGAUCGCUUGUGAUAGAAAGAAUAUCUGAUCUUUUCAAUUUUUAAAAUUAAAAUUUGUAUUCCCAGAAAUAAAGGAGGUGCAGCAUGAGGGGAUCAACAUGUGACAGGUUAGCUGCAAGUACUUUCAUUACUUAUUUUCUAUUCCCUUGUGUCUCCUUUUUUCCUCUGUACUGAAGCAGCUAAUCAUGUGAGAAAUCACCCUUGCUGGUAUUUACUGCUUUAAAUUUUGUUGGCAUUGAUUAAUCAUAUGCUGUCAAGAAUAUUAGAUGGUAGGUCUUUGGUAGAGCCUGAUGGAAGAAAGCAAGGUUGUGAUUUAAUAUUAAAACCAGUUUAAACAAUGCUAGGUUGAAUUUCAGCCUUUUUUAUUUAUAGAGUUAGUAGAGAAGUCUGGCAAUAUAUUAUUCUUUCAUUUAGAUCUCUUCCUGGGCAAGGAUCACGUUUUAUUCAGUAAUACUUUAUUUUACAAACUGACCUCAUCUACAUGUAAAUCAGAAUGGCAGUAAGACUAUAAAAGCAGAUAUUACAAUUGCUAAAAAUGUGUUUUAAAAAAGGGAUCACCAGCCUUAUAUUACUCUUUAGGAAAGAUACGGAGAUUGUGCAGCAGUUUCUUUUGCUAUGUGCUACUGGACAGGAACUCAAACCCAAAAAAUGCAGUUCAACCACUGUUCAGGUCAGUGUUGGUAACAUUUCAGAUUGGCUUGACUUCUCUUUAAAUCUAUGGAUUGCUAUCCAUUAUAAUCAAGCCAACAGUCUCAUACUUAGUGAGUAUAAGAUUCUAUUGAUUCAAGAAAAAUAUUUGAAAGUCCAGACUGUUUUUUUCAGGUUCUUUUAUGUUUUAGUAUAUGUUAGGAUUAAAGGCUCAAUACUCCUGAGAUAUUUGAGUUAUUGGGAAGGCAGAAAACAGCAAAGAUAGUAUUUCACACAUGUGCAAGAACAAAAUAGAUGGAACUCCCUGUGGUUUUGAGAUACCAGUCUAAAAAGGCCUUGAAAAAAAAUUGGAUCAAGCCUUGGUGCAGAAAUAUGGAACUGUUCCAAAAAUAACAUAAAUUCUCUGCUGUUGUGAAAGCAACUGUUUCUGACUUGGUCCUUUAUUGCUGCCCUAUACACUGCUAGUGUGUAAUGAGUCAGGGAUCAUGUUGUAGGAGAUAGGAAUUUUCUCUCCAGAAGAUAAAGUUCGGUUUAAC